AACGAACGCUGGCGGCAGGCCUAACACAUGCAAGUCGAGCGCGCCCUUCGGGGUGAGCGGCGGACGGGUGAGUAACGCGUGGGAACGUGCCCUUCUCUGCGGAAUAGCCUCGGGAAACUGAGAGUAAUACCGCAUACGCCCUUUGGGGGAAAGAUUUAUCGGAGAAGGAUCGGCCCGCGUUGGAUUAGGUAGUUGGUGGGGUAAUGGCCCACCAAGCCGACGAUCCAUAGCUGGUUUGAGAGGAUGAUCAGCCACACUGGGACUGAGACACGGCCCAGACUCCUACGGGAGGCAGCAGUGGGGAAUCUUAGACAAUGGGGGCAACACUGAUCUAGCCAUGCCGCGUGAGUGAUGAAGGCCUUAGGGUUGUAAAGCUCUUUCAGCUGGGAAGAUAAUGACGGUACCAGCAGAAGAAGCCCCGGCUAACUCCGUG
rnacentral:rRNA from 1 species